rnacentral:misc_RNA from 1 species
GAACGCACCUUGCACCUUUUGGUAUUCCGAAAGGUAUGCCUGUUUGAGUGUCUUGAUAAGUCACUUCAAAGAGUUUCUCUUUGAAUGUGGAUCUGGACGUUGCAAUUACCUGCUCGUCUUAAAUGUGUUAGUCGGUACAACCGUAGCUGAGCGUAAUAAGUUUCGCUUGGCGAAGGGGGCAGCCGGCUUAUAAUCGCCACUUGGUUGGCUCUCGCUGCCUUAGGCGGCUCAUGACUAGACCUCAAAUCAGGUAGGACUACCCGCUGAACUUAAG